UACAGAGGUCCCAAGCGUUAGGCGGAAUCACUGGGCUUAAAGCGUGUGUAGGCGGAUGCCUAAGUACCUUGUGAAAUCCCACGGCUUAACCGUGGAACUGCUCGGUAUACUGGGUGUCUUGAGCCAUCUAGGGCCUGCGGAACAAACGGUGGAGCGGUGAAAUGCGUAGAUAUCGUUUGGAACGCCAACGGUGAAAACAGCAGGCUGGGAUGUGCUGACGCUGAGACACGAAAGCCAGGGAG
rnacentral:rRNA from 1 species